rnacentral:tmRNA from 1 species
GGGGCUGAUUCUGGAUUCGACGGGAUUUGCGAAACCCAAGGUGCAUGCCGAGGGGCGGUUGGCCUCGUAAAAAGCCGCAAAAAAAUAGUCGCAAACGACGAAACCUACGCUUUAGCAGCUUAAUAACCUGCUUAGAGCCCUCUCUCCCUAGCCUCCGCUCUUAGGACGGGGAUCAAGAGAGGUCAAACCCAAAAGAGAUCGCGCGGAUGCCCUGCCUGGGGUUGAAGCGUUAAAACUAAUCAGGCUAGUCUGGUAGUGGCGUGUCCGUCCGCAGGUGCCAGGCGAAUGUAAAGACUGACUAAGCAUGUAGUACCGAGGAUGUAGGAAUUUCGGACGCGGGUUCAACUCCCGCCAGCUCCACC